rnacentral:rRNA from 1 species
AUUGAACGCUGGCGGAAUGCUUUACACAUGCAAGUCGAACGGCAGCACGGACUUCGGUCUGGUGGCGAGUGGCGAACGGGUGAGUAAUGUAUCGGAACGUGCCCAGUCGUGGGGGAUAACGUAGUGAAAAUUACGCUAAUACCGCAUACGAUCUAUGGAUGAAAGCGGGGGAUCGCAAGACCUCGCGCGAUUGGAGCGGCCGAUAUCAGAUUAGGUAGUUGGUGGGGUAAAGGCCCACCAAGCCAACGAUCUGUAGCCGGUCUGAGAGGACGACCAGCCACACUGGAACUGAGACACGGUCCAGGCUCCUACGUGAGGCAGCAGUGGGGAAUUUUGGACAAUGGGCGAAAGCCUGAUCCAGCCAUUCCGCGUGCAGGAUGAAGGCCCUCGGGUUGUAAACUGCUUUUGUACAGAAUGAAAAGGUUUCUACUAAUACUAGGAGCUCAUGACGGUACUGUAAGAAUAAGCACCGGCUAACUACGUGCCAGCCGCCGCAGUAA